rnacentral:rRNA from 1 species
AGCAGCCGCGGUAAUUCCAGCUCCAAUAGCGUAUAUUAAAGUUGUUGCAGUUAAAAAGCUCGUAGUUGAAUUUCGGGAUCAUCAGGUCGGUCGUGCCUCCGGUAUGUACUGGUCUCACUGAUUCCUCCUUCCUGAUGAACCGUAAUGCCAUUAAUUUGGUGUUGCGGGGAAUCUGGACUGUUACUUUGAAAAAAUUAGAGUGUUUAAAGCAGGCUAACGCUUGAAUACAUUAGCAUGGAAUAAUGAAAUAGGACGAUCGAUCCUAUUUUGUUGGUUUCUAGGAUUGACGUAAUGAUUAAUAGGGAUAGUUGGGGGCAUUAGUAUUCAAUUGUCAGAGGUGAAAUUCUUGGAUUUAUUGAAGACUAACUACUGCGAAAGCAUUUGCCAAGGAUGUUUUCAUUAAUCAAGAACGAAAGUUAGGGGAUCGAAGACGAUCAGAUACCGUCGUAGUCUUAACCAUAAACUAUGCCGACUAGGGAUCGGAUGAUGUUAAUUUUUUAAUGACUCAUUC